CCUACGGGGGGCAGCAGUGAGGAAUAUUGGUCAAUGGACGAGAGUCUGAACCAGCCAAGUAGCGUGAAGGAUGACUGCCCUAUGGGUUGUAAACUUCUUUUAUAUGGGAAUAAAAUGUUCCACGUGUGGGAUUUUGUAUGUACCAUAUGAAUAAGGAUCGGCUAACUCCGUGCCAGCAGCCGCGGUAAUACGGAGGAUCCGAGCGUUAUCCGGAUUUAUUGGGUUUAAAGGGAGCGUAGGUGGAUUGUUAAGUCAGUUGUGAAAGUUUGCGGCUCAACAGGAAAAUUGCAGUUGAAACUGGCAGUCUUGAGUACAGUAGAGGUGGGCGGAAUUCGUGGUGUAGCGGUGAAAUGCUUAGAUAUCACGAAGAACUCCGAUUGCGAAGGCAGUUCACUGGACUGCAACUGACACUGAGGCUCGAAAGUGUGGGUAUCAAACAGGAUUAGAUACCCUAGUAGUC
rnacentral:rRNA from 1 species